UAUGACACAUAUGCAUAGUUGGA
rnacentral:miRNA from 1 species